UACGUAGGGUGCAAGCGUUGUCCGGAAUUAUUGGGCGUAAAGGGCUCGUAGGCGGUUUGUCGCGUCGGGGGGGAAAACACCGGGCUUAACUCGGUGCUUGCUUUCGAUACGGGCAGACUAGAGGCAUGCAGGGGAGAACGGAAUUCCUGGUGUAGCGGUGAAAUGCGCAGAUAUCAGGAGGAACACCGGUGGCGAAGGCGGUUCUCUGGGCAUGUCCUGACGCUGAGGAGCGAAAGUGUGGGGAGCGAACAGG
rnacentral:rRNA from 1 species